CUCUCUCCCUCCCUGACCACCGUCGCACGCCACAACACGCUGCUGCCAGGCACCCCAGCCAGCCAGCCCGACACGGACAGCGGCCGGCGCGGCGAGGCCUGCAUGCCCAAAGCGGCGGGCGCGGCGGAGGCCCGUACACCCCAAGCGGCCGGCGCGGCGAGGCCAGCAUGCCCCAAGCGGCGGGCGCGGCGGAGGCCGGUACGCCCCAAGUGGCCGGCUCGGCAAGGCUGGAACGCCCCAAGCGGCAAGCGUGGUGGCGGCCAGGCCGGCUUGCCAAGCCUGGCGCCGCGGCCGGCAUCACCUUCCGCCGCGCCAGGGAGAGGGCGGGGGUGGCCAGAUCCGGCAGCCUCGAGCUCGGGCCAUGGCGGCGGCGGCCAGAUCCACGCGGGGCCAGGGCAGUGGUGGAGGCAGAGGCUCGCGACGGCGACGGUCCUCAACGGCGGGGCUCCGGCGGAGGCAGAGGCCCGCGGCGGCGGCCAUGGCGGCAGUCCUCGAUGGCGGGGCUCCGGCGGCGGCGCGUGGUGGUUGGGGAUGGUGCACGGAGGCCGUGGGCGCACGGGGCCUGCGCCACGCAGCAGGAUAGCGGACAAGCAUAUUUGCUAAUCUUAGAAUUGAUGAAAGUGCCACGAAUGGAGUCAAAACUGCAAGUGUUAUCCUUCAAGAUCCAGUUUGCUUCCCGAGUUGCAGAUCUUAGAGAAAGCUUGAAUAUCCUAAACUCUUUGUGCAACGAGAUCCGAAUUUCUCUCAAGUGGGAAGGAAUAAUGAAGAAAAUCAGUUUCGAUACAUUGAACUUCGGAACUACUAGUGGUUAUGUGAUUGCCUUCCGGUUGGACAGUCUUCUUCAACUUAUUAUUGAUGCCCGGGGAACAAAAAAUAAGAAAACACCAAUGCACAACCUCUGCAAGGAACUUGCUGCAAGAUCUCCACAGCUUUUAAACUUCUACGAUGACCUAGCUAGUUUAGAUGCUGCAUCAAAGAUACAACUAGAAAUGUUGAGUACCGAAAUGCAUGAAGUUGACGAAGGGUUGAAAAAGGUUCAGCUGGAGUAUGAUGCUUCACAAAUGGAUGGGCCGGUAUCAGAAACUUUUCUGAUGCAAAUGAUGAAGCAAACAAUGGACUGUUUGAGUGUAUCGAUUGUUGCUAAACUAGCAUUAUCCGCAUUGUGUAGAAACUGAAAGAGUUCACUGACAAUGCUCAAGCUGAUGUGGAGUCGUUAUCUUCAUUGUAUUCAAUAGUGGGUAAAAAUGUUGACGCACUGAUAAAAUACUUCGGUGAGGAUCCUUCUCGUUGCCCCUAUGAACGUGUGAUAUCUACCCUCUUAACGUUUGUAAAAAAAUUUUGAAUAGCACGAGGAGAACCUGGAGCAAGCUGAGCUCGAGAAGAAAAAUGCUGAAAAAGAUACACAAGCAGAGAAGACCAAAAGUGCUCAAUUUGAAAAAACAGAGGAGGGGAAGCUAUAGGAGGAACCGACGUCCCUGAGCUUUGGGUAAUGGAUUGCGUGAUAAUUCAGGGUGCACAAUCGGCACAAACAAGUAUACAUAUAUAGACAAUAAUGUAGAUGUGUUCAGCCAGGAUUCUGUUACAAGCUAGAUUUAUUAUAACAACAUUAUCUAUAAGAAUACGUACGACAACUACCAAGCCGAGCUCAUCAAGAAGAUCUACUUUGUUACAUGAAAUAUCUGGAAUAUAUAACACUCCUCUAAUUUGUUUGUUACAUGAAAUAUCUGGAAUAUGUAACACUCCUCAA